rnacentral:rRNA from 1 species
GACGAACGCUGGCGGCGUGCCUAAUACAUGCAAGUCGAACGCAUUGGGGACGGGUGAGUAACACGUGGGUAACCUCCCAUCAGAGGGGAUAACACUUGGAAACAGGUGCUAAACCGAUACUGAUGGAUGGACCCGCGGUGCAUUAGCUAGUUGGUGAGGUAACGGCUCACCAAGGCCACGAUGCAUAGGCGACCGAAGAGGCGGAUCGGCAACAAUGGGACUGGGACACGGCACAGACUCAUACGGGACACAGCGGUAGGGGAUCUGCGGCAAAGGACGAAAGUCUGAGCGAGCAGCGGCGCGUGAGUGUUGAAGGUUUUCGGAGCGUAAUACUCUGGGGUUAGAGAAGCGGUGUCUUACCCGAAAACCACGGCUAACUACGUGCCAGCCGCCGCGGUAAUUC